AUUAGCUCAGGUGGUUAGAGCNCNUCCCUGAUAAGGGUGAGGUCCCUGGUUCAAGUCCAGGAUGGCCCAGAUAAACCAAACCGGGAAUUUAGCCCCUCUUCUUGGCGAAAGUCAGAGAGUCGGCUGGAGCUCUUCUCCAGUGAAAAGAACCUUGAAAACUGCAUAACUAAAAAGAAAAUUCCAAGGGAGAUAAAUAGAUUUAUCGUCUGUUUAUCUCAAGCAGAAACCGUAAAAACAGAGAAUCAUACUUUUCGUAAAAGAGAGUAAAAACUGGUCAAGCUACAAAGAGCUAACGGUGGAUACCUUGGCA
rnacentral:misc_RNA from 1 species